rnacentral:rRNA from 1 species
AGUGAACGCUGGCGGUAGGCCUAACACAUGCAAGUCGAACGGCAGCACAGUAAGAUCUUGCUCUUACGGGUGGCGAGUGACGGACGGGUGAGGCAUACAUCGGAAUCUACUUUUUCUUGGGGGAUGACGUAGGGAAACUUCUGCUACUACCGCAUACGAUCUACGGGUUAAAGCAGGGGAUCUUCAGACUCUUCGCGAUUCAUUGAGACGAGGUCGGAUUAGCUAGUUGGCGGGGUAAAGGCCCACCAGGGCGACGCGCCGUAGCUGGUCUGAGAGGAUGGUCGGCCACACGGGAACUGAGACACGGUCCAGACUCUAACGGGAGGCGCCGGUGGGGAUUAUUGGACAAGGGGCGCAAGCCUGAUCCAGCCAGACGGCGGGGGUGAAGAAGGCCUUCGGGUUGUAAAGCCCUUUUGUUGGGAAAGAAAAGCAGCAAGUUAAUACCCCGCUGUUCUGACGGUACCCAAAGAAUAAGCACCGGCUAACUUCGU